rnacentral:rRNA from 1 species
GCUUAUGGCCAUACCACCCUGUCUGUGACUGAUCUCAUCUGAUCUUGGAAGCUAAGCAGGGUUGGGUCUGGUAAGUACUUGGAAGGAAGACCGCCUGGGAAUAAAAGUAGCUGUAAGCU